UACGGGGGGGGUAAGCGUUGUUCGGAAUUACUGGGCGUAAAGGGCUCGUAGGCGGCCAACUAAGUCGGACGUGAAAUCCCUCAGCUUAACUGGGGAACUGCGCCCGAUACUGGAUGGCUUGGAUUUGGGAGAGGGAUGCGGAAUUCCAGGUGUAGCGGUGAAAUGCGUAGAUAUCUGGAGGAACACCGGUGGCGAAGGCGGCAUCCUGGACCAAUAUUGACGCUGAGGAGCGAAAGCCAGGGGAGCAAACGGG
rnacentral:rRNA from 1 species